CCUACGGGUGGCAGCAGUGAGGAAUAUUGGUCAAUGGACGAGAGUCUGAACCAGCCAAGUAGCGUGAAGGAUGACUGCCCUAUGGGUUGUAAACUUCUUUUAUAUGGGAAUAAAAUGUUCCACGUGUGGGAUUUUGUAUGUACCAUAUGAAUAAGGAUCGGCUAACUCCGUGCCAGCAGCCGCGGUAAUACGGAGGAUCCGAGCGUGAUCCGGAUUUAUUGGGUUUAAAGGGAGCGUAGGUGGAUUGUUAAGUCAGUUGUGAAAGUUUGCGGCUCAACCGUAAAAUUGCAGUUGAAACUGGCAGUCUUGAGUACAGUAGAGGUGGGCGGAAUUCGUGGUGUAGCGGUGAAAUGCUUAGAUAUCACGAAGAACUCCGAUUGCGAAGGCAGUUCACUGGACUGCAACUGACACUGAGGCUCGAAAGUGUGGGUAUCAAACAGGAUUAGAUACCCGAGUAGUC
rnacentral:rRNA from 1 species